UAGCGUAAUCACUUGUCCCCUAAAUAGUGACUAGUAUGAAUGGCCACACGAGAAUAAACCUGUCUCUUUUAACAGAUCAGUGAAAUUGAUCUUCCAGUACAAAAGCUGGAAUAUCACCAUAAGACGAAAAGACCCUGUGGAGCUUUAAUACCAUCCUACCCCUGUUAGCAAAAGUAUUUUAGUUGGGGCAACUUCGGAAUCAAACUGAACUUCCGAUUACGCUCCGGAAACACCGUCAUCAAGACCAACACGUCAAAAAUUGAGCCAGACCCAGUAACCCACUGAUCAACGAACCAAGUUACCCCAGGGAUAACAGCGCCAUCUUCUUCUAGAGCCCCCAUCGACAAGAAGGUUUACGACCUCGAUGUUGGAUCAGGACACCCCAGUGGCGCAGCCGCUACUAAAGGUUCGUUUGUUCAACGAUUAAAGCCCUACGUGAUCUGAGU
rnacentral:rRNA from 1 species